rnacentral:rRNA from 1 species
AGAGACGAGUCAGAGUUUGAUCCUGGCUCAGGAUGAACGCUGGCGGCGUGCCUAACACAUGCAAGUCGAGCGGGGGAUGAAUGGAGUGCUUGCACAACAUUCAAACCUAGCGGCGGACGGGUGAGUAACGCGUGAGCAACCUACCUUUCACAGGGGAAUAACAACGGGAAACCGUUGCUAAUACCGCAUGACAUCACAUGAAGGCAUCUUCGAGUGAUUAAAGAUUUAUCGGUGAAAGAUGGGCUCGCGUCCGAUUAGCUAGUUGGUAAGGUAAAGGCUUACCAAGGCGACGAUCGGUAGCCGAACUGAGAGGUUGACCGGCCACAUUGGGACUGAGACACGGCCCAG